GAAAUAUAAGUAAAAUUUAAUUGAUUAAUCGAAUAAAAUUUUAAAUACAUUGAUAUAAUGACGAUAUGUAUAUACGGUCUUGACAAAAUACGUGCCCGCAGUCGCGGUAAUACGUAUGAAACUAGCGUUAUUCAUCUUAAAUAGGUUUAAAGGGUAUCAAACGGUCAAAUUAUCCUUUAAUAGGUAAUAUUUGUCUAGAGUUUUAUGUAACAACACAGUACUUAGAGUGGAGAGAUUAAAUUCUGUGAUACCAAAGGCACUGGCAACGGCGUACGCAGUCUUUUAUGUAAAAACUGACGUUAAAGGACGAAGGCAUAGAUCGCAAACAGGAUUUUACACCCCAGUAGUCUUUGCAUACAAUGAUCAAUGCCGUAGAUUAGAUGAGAAUUUAGUCUAUCAAUGAAAAUAAAAGCAUUUCACCUCAAGAGUAAUGUUGCAACGCAGGAACUGAAAUCAC
rnacentral:rRNA from 1 species